rnacentral:rRNA from 1 species
UACGUAGGGUGCGAGCGUUGUCCGGAAUUACUGGGCGUAAAGAGCUCGUAGGUGGUUUGUCGCGUUGUUCGUGAAAACCGGGGGCUUAACCCUCGGCGUGCGGGCGAUACGGGCAGACUGGAGUACUGCAGGGGAGACUGGAAUUCCUGGUGUAGCGGUGGAAUGCGCAGAUAUCAGGAGGAACACCGGUGGCGAAGGCGGGUCUCUGGGCAGUAACUGACGCUGGAG